CCUGGCGGCACUAGCGCGGUGGUCCCACCUGACCCCAUGCCGAACUCAGAAGUGAAACGCCGUAGCGCCGAUGGUAGUGUGGGGUUUCCCCAUGUGAGAGUAGGGAACUGCCAGGC
rnacentral:rRNA from 3 species